rnacentral:rRNA from 1 species
CCUACGGGUGGCAGCAGUGGGGAAUAUUGCACAAUGGCCGAAACCCUGAUGCAGCGACGCCGCGUGAAGGAAGAAGUAUUUCGGUAUGUAAAAUUCUAUUAGCAGGGAAGAAAAUGACGGUACCUGACUAAGAAUCCCCGGCUAAUUACGUGCCAGCAGCCGCGGUAAUACGUAGGGGGCAAGCGUUAUACGGAUUUAUUGGGUGUAAAGGGGGCGUAGGCGGCUAUGAAAGUCAGAAGUGAAAGCCCUGGGCUCAACUCCGGGAGUGCUUUUGAAACUGGGUUGCUUGAUUGCAGGAGAGGUAAGUGGAAUUCCUAGUGUAGCGGUGAAAUGCGUAGAUAUUAGGAGGAACACCAGUGGCGAAGGCGGCUUACUGGACUGUAAAUGACGCUGAGGCUCGAAAGCGUGGGGAGCAAACAGGAUUAGAUACCCUAGUAGUC